UACGAAGGGGGGCUAGCGUUGCUCGGAAUCACUGGGCGUAAAGCGCACGUAGGCGGAUCUUUAAGUCAGGGGUGAAAUCCCGGAGCUCAACUCCGGAACUGCCUUUGAUACUGGGGAUCUUGAGUUCGAGAGAGGUGAGUGGAACUGCGAGUGUAGAGGUGAAAUUCGUAGAUAUUCGCAAGAACACCAGUGGCGAAGGCGGCUCUCUGGGACGGUACUGACGCUGAGACGCGAAAGCGUGGGGAGCGAACAGG
rnacentral:rRNA from 1 species